GGACAACUCAGAGUCCAGCAAGGAGGGCUGGGAUUCACAGUGAGCAUGUGUGUUUGCCCAGGUUGGAGCUGUUUUCUGGGAUGGACACUACCUGGAAUUCAUCACGAUCACCGUGGGCAUGUACCUUUGGGUGUGUACAUGUAGAUGCUUCCAGAAAAGCAACACUGAGGAGGGAAGCUUCACUGGAAUAUGGGUGCUACCUCAGCACUGGCUAGGGCUGUGAGUGAAUGAAAAGCAGAAAGCAAGCAUCUGUCUCCCUCUGCUUCUCGACUGUGGACUCAGUGUGACCAGCCAUGUCAUGUUUCACCCGCCAUGACCUCCUCACCACAGAGUGCUGUAUUCUCAAACUGGGAGCCGAGAUAAAGGAUUUCGAGAGGACAUUAAAAACAGGUCAUCUACAGAUUAAGAAAUGGAAUUUAAAAGCUGAUACCAGAAAUUGAUCAUUUACCAAGUAUUUAUCAAGCACAGCCUUUUGCCAGGUUCUAUGUUAAGGAUUGGGAAUGGUAUGAAAGGCUACCAGUUUGACUAUCUGAAGGAAUUUACAGUCCCACAGUGUGAUAAUUAUCAUGAAAGUGUGUGCAUGUAAGAAACAGAAAGGUUGGCCACGCACAGACCCAGAAAAAACAGUCCUAGACUUCCUUAUUAUAGGUGGAGCUAUCAGAGCUGAUGAGUGACCUUGAGUUCAGGAAAUGUAACAGGCAAGGGUCUCCAUCUAAGAACCCACCAAGUCCAGCCUUGCUUAGCUUCUGAGAUCCAACAGAAUAUGUGUCAGAAGGAAGAGGCAAGAACACCUUCUGUUGCAAAAAUAUGAACAAAUAAGACUCUUAACUAGAAGACAAAUCAGCUGCUCUUCCUUCCGUCUUUUCUUGGGAAAGAAAACUGUAUUUCUUUCUGCAGACUCUUUCUUCUAUCACUUCUGCACAGCAAAAUGAAAGAUAUUUUUUCCCAAUCUGGAGUCUAGAAUUGGUCUUUUCGACAGAAGGGGGGUUACUGUCCCCAUACCCCAAAUAGGCUUGAUAUGAGUGGAAAAAAUCUGGCUUGGUACAUAUGUCCAUGUACCUUCUUAGUUCAGCCCAGCAAAGCAAAAGGCCAGGUGGUUUAAACUAAAGCUUCAACUGUGGGUUAUAAACUUAUAUAGUGCUUUGUCACUGACUGUGGAGAUGGUACAAAAAAUACUGGCAACAACAAAAGGUUUCAGGACCUUCAAAGACCAACGAUUAAUCCUAAAUCAAACAUUUAAAUGAGUCCAAUGUGUUUCUAGCAGUGCCCGUCCUACUGGGAUGCACAGAUUCUCAGUGGCCUUGAUUUUGAACACAGGACAGGCACACUCCAUACUGUGCAUGCCCUGAAGCCAGAGAAUGCAAAAUCACAGUGCAAGGAUAUCUCAGCACAGGUUAGAGACUGUUUUAUGCUAAGAAUGUCAGUGUUUCUGCCUUACACACAAAGUUUUCUGCUCUUGUAGGAACAAUGACCUAAUUACAGAAACAAGAGUCUUAAAAAAUAUAUGUUUUCUACCAUCAUUCUGGAUUAGUAUCUUCAAGACAAGCAAAUCCUUGAAGCAAGACACAGAUUUGAUUUCAUUUUUAACAAAUGCUAAAGUUAAAUUUAUACAAAAGAAUUGCUUUAAAUUUGUGAUUUAUUAACAAU